GUUAAAUUUAUGUGCAUGUGCGUAACACAUUUGAUGUUAAAUAACCCAUUUGACAUACAUUUCCUUAUCUUAAUUUCUUUGACAUUGAUGAAGUAAAUCUUAUCAUUCACCUUCGUUUAAUCUGUCCUGUGGGCUGAUUUUGACUAAUAAGUAGUACCGUAAGUAAAACCUGGUCUGUGUUCUGGAGGAGAUUCAACUCUGCGAUACAACAUACAGGGUCAGAGGAUCUUCUGACGAAAUGAGCUAAAAUAGUCAGAUGUGGCUCUCUUUCUGGCGUUAGCCCUUACAAUCAUCUAAGGAAAGCUGAAAAGAAUGUUUAGAGGCUAGAUUCCCACCAGGAAGUAAAAGCAGAAACAAUUUGUAAAUUUCUUUUAUAUAAGAAAGUAAAUAUUGAAGGAAUUUUUACAUCAAAUAGCCAGGUAGAAAUAAAUGACUUUAAUCGCUCUUUCUUACAGUCUGUUACGAACACAUUUGCUCAAGGGAUUUAAGAUAUUUGUUGACAGACGCGAAAAUCCAAAGUAAAGUAUCUUUCUGUACAUAUAUCAAUCAAAUCUGAGAUAAAAAUGAGUAAAUAUAUCAGAUCACAUGUCAGAGUUUUCUGGAUAGAUUAGAGCUGCAACUGGGGGCAUAUGACGGAAAAAAAUCAUCCCCUUAGAGGGCAACUAUUAUCAGAACUCCUCUGACAAUAAGCAACAGAAGAUAAGCUUAUGUAUUAGAAAGUAGUAGUGCCUUGCAGUUUAUUUCAAAAGGAAGCAAAAGGGCCAGCCUGGUGGCGCAGCGGUUAAGUGCACACAUUCCGCUUUGGUGGCCUCCGGUUCACGGUUCAAAUCCCGGGUGUGGACAUGGCACCGCUUGGCAAAAAGCCAUGCUGUGGCAGGCGUCCCAUAUAUAAAGUAGAGGAAGAUGGGCAUGGAUGUCAGCUCAGGGCCAGUCUUCCUCAGCAAAAACAGGAGGAUUGGCAGCAGAUGUUAGCUCAGGGCUAAUCUUCCUCAAAAAAAAAAAAAUGGAAGCAAAAAUAAUAUAGUGGUAGGUAUUCAAAGUUUCAGGUCAUGUAGAUAGCGACAGAAAACUAUGAAUUUAAAAUAAAACCUGAAUUGAGAGGUGACUGAGAAAUGUGUGAUUAGACAUCAUUUGGAAUCAAUAAAUAUUCAUAACAAUAAAAAUACCAUGUGUAUGUGAGGAAGAGAGAAAUACUUGGAUAUGAAGCACAGGACAUUAACUGCAUGAAAAAUAGAAAAUUCUGGGGCUAUUUGAGAAAUAAAGCACUGAACUUUUAUUUAACAUAAGAAACUAUCAUUUCUUUGAGUCUUUCUGUAAAUGAGAAGAUUAAGGGCUUGUCUUGCAACUUCAUACAAAACUACGAUAAAUUUUUAAACAGACAGACAGUAUUUAGAACUGUAUUAUCCUUUUCAACAGGUUCCCAUUCUCCCCUGGCUCCAAUAUCGAAUAGAAAUGUCCUGUCUUUUGACUGGGUGAUAUGUGGUGGCAUCUUAUUCUUAUUCCUUUAGAUGAGACACAGGAGAAGCGUUUGCUGGAAAGGGGAUUCUCGGGCCCAGGGGUAGCCAGAGGGCCAGGCAUCUCACGGUCAGUGUUACUGCCCCUUUGCCCUAGCUGGCUAAUUUACUGGCUCCCUUUCUCCACUGUUAUUUUGGCCUCCUGGGCACGGGUUUGCAGCUUUGGCUGCACACUGGAAUCACUUGUGGAGUUUGAAAAAUCGAGAUGCCUGGCCUGGCCUGGCCAUCUGGAAGUCAGAUUUAAUUGGCCCGGGGUGUGGCUUGGCCAUCAGAAUUUGAACGAGUCCCCAGGUGAUGCUAAAGUGCAGGCAAUACUGAGAGCCAUCGCUCUAGUCAGCAAUUUUCAGAGUGUCAUCCCCCGACAGGCAGCAGAGCAGCGCCAGGGAAUGUGUUAGAAAUGCAAACUCUUAGGCUCCACCCUAGACCUGCUGAGUCAGAAACCCUGGGAGCAGGGCCCAACCGUUUGUGUUUUGCCAAGCCCUCCAGGUGAUCGGAUGCAUGCUGCAGUUUGAGAACCACUGCUUUAAGAAGUGAGCCUCCCACUGGCAAGAGUGAAGCAAGUAAAGAGUGAGUGACAGGCUGAUAAUUGAAGAGGAUUUUGAAGGCUUUUUCCCAGUGUUGAGUUCCUUCACAGGUUUUACUAUGUAACUGCUGACAUCAUGUGAAGUACGCCCAUUAUGAAUGCUUUUCCCGAUUCUUCCUCUGAAUUGAGGAUUUUUAGACUUAUCGGCCACCUGGGAGUAGACUCCAGGGAAAAUGAUGUCACUAGCUGUGCACAGGGGAUGGCCUUCUGUAUCUUCUGAUAAGACUGAGUCUGAAAAGGAAAUCAUACUGCUGUCAAGCAACUGAGGUUUUUUUUAAGGUUCUGGCAUCAUUUGCUAUGAUCACUGUAGUUAUAGGUCUAAUUAAAGCCUCUAGUCAGAGAAGUUGUUUAAUAAGUAUAAAUUCCAAGAGAACACUAAAUAUGCCAUCUCCUACGUGGUAAAAUCUCCAAAGGAGGUAAGUUUCUUUGGUAAUAGCACUGUUUGUCUCUAAAUUAUUUUCCUUUCUGUAUCCUUUCCAUAUUCUAUGAGCUUCCUAUUGCUGUUAUAACAAAUGACCACAAAUCUGGGUUAGAGACUCGAGAUGGGUUUAAGCUGGGCUGAAAUCGAAGUGUCGGUUGGUGGGGCUGCAUUCCUUCACUAGCCUCUGGAGGAGAAUCUGUCUCCUUGCCUUUUUUUAGCUUCUAGAGACUGCCUGCAUGCCUUGGCUCGUGGUCCCUUCCUUCAUCUUCAAAGCCAGUAGUGUAGUAUCUUUUAAAGCUCUCUCUGACUGAUCCUGUCUUUUCAUUGUCACAUCUUUUUUUCUGGUCCAUGAGCCUCCCUCUUCUAAGGAUCUUCAUGAUUAUACUGAGCUCACCCAGAUAACCCAGGAUAAUCACUCAUCUCAAGAUCCUUGACUUAGGGGCUGGCCCUGAGGCUGAGUGGUUAAGUUUGCACACUCUGCUUUGGUGGCCCGGGGUUCACUGGUUGGGGUCCUGGUCAGGCACCUAUACACCACUUAUCGAGCCAUGCUGUGGUGGCAUCCCACAGAGAAGAGCUAGAAUGACUUACAACUAGGAUAUACAACUAUGUACUGGGGCUUUGGGGAGAAAAAAUAAAAAAUAAAAAAAGAGGCAGAUUGGCAACAGAUGUUAGCUCAGGGCCGAUCUUCCUCACCAAAAAAAAAAAAAGAAAAAGGAAAAGAAAAGAAAAGAAAAAAAAGAGCAUACCUUAAAAAAAAGAAAAAAGGAUCCUUAACUUAAUCGUAUGUGUAAAGUCCUUUUUGCCAGGUAAGAUUUGCAGAUUCUGGGGAUUAGGAUGUGAACAUCUUUGGGAGGCUGUUACUUAUCCACCACACAUAUCAAGACAGGAAAGGAGACAGGGAACAUUUUCUAUGGGAGACCCUUGGAGACUAGACUAUAGUAGAAAGCUGAAAAGUAGCUGCUUGAGGAAAUCGAUAAGGCAGUACAUUUCAAAUCAUUGUGAGCUUAAAUAUUACCCAGGGUUUUGUAAAAAAUGCCUAUUGCUGAGCUCUGUCCCCAAAGAUUCUGAUUCAGUGGGACUGUAGUUCAGCCUGGGAUCUGUAUUUUACACGCCAGCACACAUUCUCCCCUGACCAGCAGUGUUCCUGGAGAUGAUUCAGUGCAGGUCACCCACGGACCACACCUGGAGAAGCUGACGACGGGGAGGUGGUGAACAGCACAGAACCUGAGAGCACCGUGCAGCAGCAUCAUUAUUAACUGCAGCAAAUGCUAAACCUUCGAAGCAGCACCACACAGUUCCUGGGUUAUAAAGGCUUUGUUCCUCAGAUGCUCAGGUCCCCAGAAGGUCAGCUCUCUGGGGCAGGCCAAGCCUGUAGCGUUCACUGGCUUCUCCACAAGCUUAUGAAUAAAGCUGAAACUGUGAACUGUUCAAAAAAGAAAAUAGGUGAUUUGAUUUACAACAAGUUAGUAAAGGAAAACAGUAAGAUUCGGGAACAUCUGCCUUCCAGCAGAAUAUUCUUUGUGUUUCUAAUAAAACCAGGAAGCCAAGUGGAUGGAAGAACUGAUUUGAGAUGUGUGAUGCUGAUCCUUGUGUUAUGUUGGCACAAAUAUGGGCAAUUAGGACACAACUUCACACAACAGUGGGGCAAGAAAGUGAAAUAAGGAAUAGAGGGAUAUCUAGCGAUAAUAGGGUUGAUUAUGUGACAGGCACAUUUAUGGCGAAGCAAAGAGGAAGGGAUUUGGCAUCAAUUAACAGACUUCCUGAGUUCAAACCUGACUCCCUUACUUGCUUAACUUAUCUAAGCGUCAGUUUCCCCAUCUGUGAAAUGAAGAGAGUAAUAUCAUAGGGUCUUUUUGGAGGCACCAAUAAAAUAAAACCUGUAAGACAGCACAGUCCUUGGUGCAUGGUUAGGAGUUAAAGUAAAAUUAAAAAUAAAAAAGUUAACAGUUGUAACUGAUGGCAGAGACACAAAUAUCCCAUUCAUCUAGCGUGUUUAGUUUGCGUCAGUGGUGUCAUGGGAUUGUGUAUAAACGCCCAAUUUUCUCUACCUGCCAUACAUCUCUGACAGGGCCACUCUUAUGAGGAAAAACACCUUUGAGAGAUGUCUCUUGAAUAGGAAUUUGCUUUAGUUAUAUCUUAACAUAAGCAAGAGGCUUUUUUGUUAAAAUAACUUACUUCACUGUUCUGGCCCACUGCCCUGAACAUUCCACUUUGUUUUGUGUGACAGUGGGUUUUAAGUCAGCCAGUGUACAAGGCCCCAGAAUUCUGUUACAUCUGGGUUCAGAAAACUAUUUACUUUCUUCUAUAGUUUUCUGAACUAAUCUUAUUUCUUGGUUGUCACAUCUCAUAACUCACAACUGCUAUGUAUUGAAUUUUGGCCUUUCUCUUUCCCCUUCACCAUAAAGCUACAUCCUUGAAAGACAGGCAGCCCUUUCUUUCUUUUUUUUUCCCCUUAAUUUUUC
rnacentral:lncRNA from 1 species